UCGGGAAUUUUGGGCAAUGGGCGAAACCCUGACCCAGCAACGCCGCGUGAAGGAUGAAGUAUUUCGGUAUGUAAACUUCGAAAGAAUAGGAAGAAUAAAUGACGGUACUAUUUAUAAGGUCCGGCUAACUACGUGCCAGCAGCCGCGGUAAUACGUAGGGACCAAGCGUUGUUCGGAUUUACUGGGCGUAAAGGGCGCGUAGGCGGCAUGACAAGUCACUUGUGAAAUCUCUGGGCUUAACCCAGAACGGCCAAGUGAUACUGUCGCGCUAGAGUGCAGAAGGGGCAAUCGGAAUUCUUGGUGUAGCAGUGAAAUGCGUAGAUAUCAAGAGGAACACCUGAGGUGAAGACGGGUUGCUGGGCUGACACUGACGCUGAGGCGCGAAAGCGUGGGGAGCAAACAGGAUUAGAU
rnacentral:rRNA from 1 species